CUACGGGCGGCUGCAGUCGAGAAUCUUCCGCAAUGGGCGCAAGCCUGACGGAGCAAUGCCGCGUGAGGGAUGACGGCCCUAGGGUUGUAAACCUCUGUCAGAAGGGACGAAGAACGUGACGGUACCUUCAGAGGAAGCCAUGGCUAACUACGUGCCAGCAGCCGCGGUAAUACGUAGAUGGCGAGCGGUAUUCGGAUUUACUGGGCGUAAAGGGUCCGUAGGGGGUCUGCCAAGUCUGAUGUGAAAUCCUGCGGCUCAACCGCGGAACUGCAUUGGAAACUGGCGGACUAGAGUGUGCGAGGGGUGAGCGGAAUUCCUGGUGUAGCGGUGGAAUGCGUAGAUAUCAGGAAGAACACCGAUGGCGAAGGCGGCUCACUGGCGCAUCACUGACCCUGAGGGACGAAAGCGUGGGUAGCAAACAGGAUUAGAUACCCGCGUAGUC
rnacentral:rRNA from 1 species